UACGGAGGGGGCUAGCGUUGUUCGGAAUUACUGGGCGUAAAGCGCGCGUAGGCGGACCUGCAAGUCGGGGGUGAAAGCCCGAGGCUCAACCUCGGAACUGCGUCGGAUACUGGAUGGCUUGAAUUCGGGAGAGGGAUGCAGAAUUCCAGGUGUAGCGGUGAAAUGCGUAGAUAUCUGGAGGAAUACCGGUGGCGAAGGCGGCAUCCUGGACCGACAUUGACGCUGAGGAGCGAAAGCUAGGGGAGCAAACGGG
rnacentral:rRNA from 1 species